CAGCAGCAGCCACGGUAAUACGGAGGGUGCAAGCGUUAAUCGGAAUUACUGGGCGUAAAGCGCACGCAGGCGGUCUGACAAGUCAGAUGUGAAAUCCCCGGGCUUAACCUGGGAACUGCAUUUAAAACUGUCAGGCUGGAGUCUUGUAGAGGGGGGUGGAAUUCCAGGUGUAGCGGUGAAAUGCGUAGAGAUCUGGAGGAAUACCGGUGGCGAAGGCGGCCCCCUGGACAAAGACUGACGCUCAGGUGCGAAAGCGUGGGGAGCAAACAGGAUUAGAGACCCCGGUAGUCCCUGUCUCUUAUAA
rnacentral:rRNA from 1 species